AGUACUCAGACAUUGCAACCAAACAUCUUGCAGCUUGACGAACUGUUAACAACUGAUGCAGACGAUGAACUGUUUGGUGCCUCAGAUUAUCUGCCUGCAGUGAGUUUUCAAAUUAACAUUUUCAUCAUUUUCCAUCUAUAAGUUUAAUAUAUUCUAAGUCAAAUUCAAACUCAGCCCAAAAGGGUUGAUUUUAGUAGAUUAUUAUAGUUUAGUUAUAUUAUGUAUAUGAAGCACGGACACAGACACGGACAUCAGAUAUGACACGGACACUAACACGCCGACAUGGUUAAUAAUUUAAAAAAUGACAUAAUUCAGUGUGAUUAAAAAUGUCGGUGUCGUGUCAGUAUCGGACAUCGGAACACGUCUAAUCUGACGAGUAUCUAUGCUUCAUAUAAUAUAGGUUAAAAUAACAACCGUCUUACUAGUUGAAAAUACAAAAUAGAUUAUGAUUUAUGAUUAUAAAUUUAUAUGGUCUCACACUUAGACAUCAUAUAUACAGAAAUUAAUAAGACUGACUUUUCGAGCAAAUGAACAGACAAAUAAAUUUAACCUUCUUUUCUCAGUCAAAUUCUAAAAAUAAACAAACUUGAAAAUACAUACUAUAUGCUAAUUAUUACUAGAUUUUUCUUUCAAUAAUUGUAAUAGGAUUUGAAUUUUUGUUCUAAUGCAUAGAAGACUAUUCAAUUCUCUUACCAGUAAUUUAAAUCAACUGACUUCUCUAGUUUAUUGAUAAAAGACUUCUCUACUUUAUAUUAAUUAAUAUAAAUAUAGUUUUGAAAAUUAUAAAUUGGUGAACAUAUUUCAAGCCAUGAAAAUUAUAUGAAGAAAAUAUGUACUAGCAUAUUGAAAAAGUUGGACUCUUAAUUAAAACUAAACAGUAAUUAGAUGUAAAUUUUUUCAAACGGCAACAAAAAUAAUGAUCAGUCAUAGUAAAACUUUGAACAAUUACACAAGAGAAAUAUAGUGAUAAAAAAAAGAGUUUUGAAUCAUAGGUAUACCAAAACUAAAAACUGGUCAAAAUUGAAAAGGGACAAGCUUAAAAAUUAAUUAAACAAGAAAGGUUGCUUGAGAGAUUAAAAUCAAAUAUAAUGAUUAUGAUAAUGUUGUCUACCUAAUGAUUCCUAAGUUUCUUAUUCUUGUUGUGAUUGAUUACUUUGAAUAGAUCAUUCAAAUAAAUUAUCAGUUGGAGACUUGUAAUUAAAAUCGAUUAUUAUUUAGCAAAGUUCACAAUGAAAUUUAGGAUGUCUAAACAACUUGGUCAAUUUUUCUACGGUGGAAAAGUUUUGAGUUUUUGCUCCUUUUAUUUUUUUUUUAUUAUUUGAGGGGUUUUUAAAGUAAUUUUCAAUAACUGAAAAUUUUCUUCAAUUGAAUAUAUAUGAACUGCUAAUUCAUCUAUGCAAUUAAACAAAAUUACAAAAUAUAAACAACAGAGCCCAAAUGUUAUUGUUUUUUUAGUUAUUUUUUUUUUUGGACUUGAAGUAUUUUUGUUUGAAAAUUGCUCUUUAGUCCUUGGAUUGUUGGAGUUGGCAUCUCUUCAUUUAGGAUCAUUUUCUUUUAUUUCAAUUGAGUUAAACUCAAUUUUUUUUGAAAAAUAUUAUAAAAUGGAAAAGAUCCUUACUCAAAUUGUUUAUAUGCCCCCCUAAACCCCAAAAUUUCCUCCUCGAUUCCUAACCUCGGAACUAUCGAGACGUGACUACCUCUCGUUAGAGGGUUAGGUCCUGAUGGUUAAAUAUAACUUUUAAAUACUCAGACUUUACAAUUUGAACCAAUCAUGUUUAACUGGACUUAUGUAUAUGGGUUGUCAAACCCUCAAAAGGGUAAGGCUAACACUUAGGCCUCCAAAUUGUUUUUUAAUUUAUUGGAUACACCUCUUAUUGUACUUUUCAACAUUAAAACUAUAAAAAUUUCAUCAAAAAUAAAUUUUAUUUUAACAAAGAUUAAAUUGAUUAACUUUGUCGUCAACUUAAAAAGAAGUACGAAACCAAAUCAAUUACAUGAAUUUAAAUUAAUGAAUGAGUUUGUACUAUGAAAGUUGUGGAAAAUAUAAUUUAAACAAAAAUUUGUAGGUUCACUAAAAUGCUAUUAUGGUUGAUAAAAAAGCACCAUCUUAGGCAAAUAUGUAUGAAUUAGACCAAUUCACGUUCAAAUCCGUUACAACCUUUCAUUUUUUUACACAAUUAUACAACUUCUCAGUAUAGUGUAGAGAUAUAAACUAAAAAUAGAAAAGUAUUCAAGUUACAUGUUUGUAUUCUAGAAUAGCUAAAAAGCAACAAGUUAUGGUGAGGACUCUAUGUUAUGUCUUCAAGUUACGGUUACGACCAUGACAUCACAUAGAUAUGGGUUUCAAAAUGUAUCUUUGGAUGAAAUUAUGUUCCAUGUCACAUUGUUCAUUUAGUAACCUUGAUACUCAAUGUUAUAAAUUCAAUGAUUAAUUAAUAUCUUCAUUCAUUUACAUGAAUCACAAACAACCAUGAAAGAUAUCUUAAAGGUCGUGCAACUUGUCCUUAUAUUGGUACCUUAUAUUGUGAUAAAAGUGUAAUUCUCAAUCGAGCAGUAGGUAGACACUUUUAAUGUGUACAUCCAUUUAUACCAUUUUAAAAAAUUUCAGUUAACCAAAUAUACGGUCUGUGUAAGCAUAUAUUUUAAGUUGCGUGACCAUUAUUUUUCCAGAAUUUAUUUGUGCGCGUGACCACAUUUUUCAGCUUCUAUAUAGUGGUCACGCAACUGAAAAAAUGUGGUCACACAGACCAUAUAUUCGGUUAACUGAGAUUUUCUAAAGUGGCACAAACGUGUACACAUUAAAGGUGUCUACCAAUCUUUAUUCUUCUCGAUUAGUGUUCGAUCCUAAUAAAGUACAAAUAUUUUUGUGAUAUAACUAAAAAUAACUGCUUUCAAACUAAAAUACAAAUCUAGACUUACAUUUAAAUGGAUUUAAUUAUCCUUAAAUAACUUGGUAUUUCUUCAUUUCUAUGUCUUUUUCCAGUUUGUAUUAUUUUAUGUAAGGAGUAUAUUAACAAACAAUAAUUUCUUAUAUUGCAAAAUACUCUUAAAAUAUAAAUGGGUGUCUUUCCCCUCUCUAGCUGUAUAUCUUGUAAAAAAAAUAUAAUUAAGCAUUGACAAACUUUUCUAAUAUCAAAAUCAGAGUCAUAUUUAAUUUCCUCUAAAAAAAAAAAAAAAGUUAAGAGUCACAUUAUAAAAUCCAGGUUCGUAGAUUUUAUGUAACAACCUCAUGAGAGUGAGGAAUGCAUGCAAGUAGUUUAUAAUGUGAGGGUUGGAGUUGGUGUCCCUACCCAUAUGAUUGAAGGAACAGGUUCUUGUUCCUACCUGAUUCCCACGAGAUCAGUUAUGGACUUAUAGUAACUAGGUAAAAAAUUUCAAGUGGGACCACAAAACUAGUUUACCAAGAUCACACACUAUUCACAACAUUGCUUGCACCACAAAUUCAAUUUGAAAUGAUGAACAUUUGUUUUUUGAUUAUUUAUUUUUUUAUUUUAUUUGUUGGUAUAAUAUAUAUGUUCCAUGGUAUAAAUUGUGGGUUAAGAUCCUCUGCAUUUAGCAAAAUAAAUGGAGUUUGCAAUUUACAAAGAGAUAGACACAAAAAAUAGAUAGUGGAUCCUACCACUAAGUGAGUUCCACAAUAAUUAAUUAUAUUUUACUUUUUUCAAGAUUUUAUGUGUAUUUAUCUCUCUAAAUGUAAGAAAUGGAGAUAGACAUAAAUGGAGAAGAUCUUAUGUCGCAUCCUUGAUAUUUUGUAAAAUUAUAAAAAAAUUAAAAAAGUGUUGCCCAAUUUAGUAAUUAAGCAAGGGCAUCUGAUGCAAUAUGUGAUGUGAACAUCAACUUAACGAAAAAUAGAAAAGUUUCAUUGAUACAACCACAAUAGCAAUUCGAUUAAAAUUAUUGUAAAGACUUUUAAAACAUUUAUAUAAUCAAUUUAUCAUAUAAUUUAAUCUUUUUUUAUUGGUCAAGCAGUGUAGUAGCUAUAUUUCACAUUUUUUAAGGUGAAUAAGUGGGGUGUCCAGGGUUCGAACCCGGCCCCUGCAUAUAAUAAUACAGGUUCCUGCUAACUGAGUUAGGCUCACGAGGACCAUAUAAUUCAAUCUUAAUAUGGAAAAAAAAAAAUAUGAAAAUGGGUUUUUCCAAGAAAAUGCAAAACAUUAUAAGCUGUUGGGAAAAUGCAAAACAUUAUAAGUUGUUGGGAGAAUAUGAAUUAUAUUAGUCAAAGAAUAAGAAACAUACCUGUCUCACAAAACUUUCAAGAGUGGAGAGCUUGUUCAUGGCAAGAGCCAUUUGUCCCAUAUAGUUAGCCAUAUUAGGAGGAUUGCUUAAAGAAUCUGAUGUUAUAGUCUCUGAAAGAGAUUGGUUGAGUGCAUCAAGCCCUUGGGAAAGUGCUUCUUCUGCCUCUUGUGUUGAUUGUUGCAACCCACAUAUACCAAGUAUCUGGUGCUCCGUAAGAGGCUCAAUUUGACUUACAAUUAUCUAAAACACAUAUCCAUCAAAUAAAACAAUAUUAAUUCACUCAAAAAACUAUAUAAUACAUGUUUUUACUAUUUUAUUUUAUUUUGGUACAAUGUUUUUACUAUUUUAUUAUUCUAAAAUAAUUUUACUUCAUAAUAAAAUGAUAAGGGUCCAUUUUUGAGAGGUCCAUUUUUUUUACAUGCCUAAAUAUUUUUACAAGCAAAAGUAAAAUACACUCUUGCAACUGGCACGUAGAAAAUACUAAUACUAAAUAUAUCAUCUGAUCAUUAUUAUAAGCAAAAAUUUACAUUUAAGAUUCAUUUAACUAAUAAUAUAUAUAAUUUUUAUUAUAAACGCAUACAUUAUUUAAUGAAUGAAUCUAACUAUUGAUUUUUAAUUAUAAUAGUGAUCGACUGAGGUUGUAAGAAGGAGUGAUCAACUUGUUUUACACGAGUUUAUGGUCAAUUAGGGAGAAAAUUGGGUAUUGGAAACUCAUUCCCAUAGAUAAUGAGAGAUAGAGACCUGUGCCACUUUUCUUCUAUUUCCAUCUUAGUCCAUUUGUCUGAUUCCAAUAACAAAUUGUAGUGAAAGGUAUGGCUUUAUGGGAAUGAAACCUAACUCUAUACUGAAAAUCUUCAAUGUACCUUUAAUUCCACAUCCAUUCAUGACAUCAAAUCCAUUACCCUUAAAUUUACUUUGGGAACUCCAACUACAGUUUUAGUCAAAUUCAAUAUUAAAAAAACUAUUUGCUUAAAAAAAUAAAAAAGGAUGGAUAUUUUUCUUAAUGUGCAAGAUUAGACAUUGCUAAAUUUCAGAUAAAAGAUAUAUAGAACACCCGUUUUUUUGUUGAUUUAUCAUCUAGUUGUCACAAAAUUUUGAGGGUCCCAUGCAAAUAAUUAAAAUUUCAAUCAUCAUUUAAGAUUGCGGUUGAUCGAACAGUAAAAAAAAUUUAGGUAUCUUUAACGCCAUAAUAACCGCAAUUUUGAUCACAUAUUCAUAUGUUUGACAUGUAUUUUUUAGAAAUGUUUCAAGAAAUUUAGACCUCAAUGAUUUGAGGCCCUGGGUGGUGGCUCACCUUGCACACCCAUUGCGCCAACCCUGACGGUAAUGGCAUCAUAACCGCAAUUUUGAUCACAAAUUCCUAAAUUUGACACGUAUUUUUUGUAAAUGUUUCAAGAAAUUUGGACCCCAAAGAUUUAAGGCCCUAACGGUGGCUCACCUUGCACACCCAUUGGGCCGACCCUGACUGUAACUGCAAUUUAAAACCAAUAUUUCUAUAAGGCUAGGUUGAUCAUUGAUGCAACAUUUGUUUACCUUAAUGAGUUCAGAUGGUCUGAAUCCACCAAUCCACAUGAAGCAACGUUCAGCUGGGGUUUUCCACAUUCCAAAAACAAGAUGGAACACAUCUGUUCUAGCUAGAAUAUUUUUGAGGUUAAUUACUUGAUCAUAGUGAGCCAAACAAUUUUCCACAUAUAACCUAAGCUCAUUUUCAUGCAAAUGUUCAUCUAGUGCUGCUCUUAGCUCACACACUAGCCUGUGAUGCUCCUCUAACCACCUCCCAUACUCCACAUCAAACAUUGCAGCCUCUGAAAAUUUGUUCCAAAAAGAUUGUUACAAUAUUUUAUGGUUUGAUUUUUAUUUUUGUUGUCAAGUAAAAAAUUAAUGGGGUGUCUAGGGUUUGAACCCCGGCCCCUGCAUAUAACAUUGCAUGUCUCUGCCAACUGAGAUAUGCUCACGGGGACUUUUAUGGUUUGAUUUUAUUAGUAUGGAAAGAUACCUGAGCUAAUGCUAUUCAGAGAAAUUGGAAUUCCUUGGUCUCCUCCCAAAACUGCACCUCCACCCAUUAACACGCCCUAAAAAUGAAACAAAUCAUUGUUUUUAGGUCCUUUGCUCUACUAUUGUUGGAUCAAGAUGGAUCAAAAGAGAGAAAAUACUGCUCCCACUAAAAUGAAAUAUAUAUAAAAAAUAAAAAGUUCAUUUUCUUUUUGAAGAAGCUAAAAUAGCUCAUUCAAAUUGACACCAGAGAUAAUCGAACCUGAGACCUUGAGAAGGAGCACACUCCCAAGUCUCAAGCCAAUACCACUAGACGAACCUAGAUAGGCUAAGAAGUUCAAAAUUUAAAAUGUAUCUAUUCGAAAUUUUGACUAUGUAUAUAUAAAUAUUUUUGCUUAUAUUUCAUUUUAGAAGUAUAUUCGGAGAAAAAUAUUAAUAUCAUUUUCACGUUUACAAUCCAACGACUCUGCAGCAGAUUGCACCGUGCACUCGCCAGAGAGAAUCGGUACCAGUCUUGAUACCGAUUUUUAACGAUUAGUUUUUACACAAAAAUGGAGGUUAGUUCCUUACUUGAGCUCUAGCACGCUGUAACUCUUGUUCAAGCUGAUUAAGCUUAAUCCUACUUGUUUCUAGCUGCUGAACAUAAGCCUGAAAAAAAGAGAGGAACAAAUAAAUAAAUUAGUAUAUAAGAAAAAAGUGUUUUGACAAGAACUUUUUGCCUAAAAUGUAUAAAAGCAAAUACUACAGUUUUUGGGAAUAAAAAAACAAUCAUCCUGUAAGGGAAUUCACUGCACCUUUUUCCUAAGCCUGCUUUUUCUUGCUGCCUCUCUAUUCUGAGCAAGUCUUCUAAGAGUCUGUGCAAAAUAUUUUCAUUUUUUUUAAUUAUUAUAUCAAGGAAGAGAAAAUCAAGUAAAUUAAAUUAAGAUGUAUUAAUUAAUAUAAUUAAUUAACCUUAGGAUCUGGUGUUUUUGGUCCUUCAUGUUCAGAACUUGAAGUUGUACCCUUGCGAUUAUUCUCUUUCUGCCAUACAUCAUUUAUAUUGUAUAGUUGAUUAAUUAGAAGAAGAAAAAAAAAAUAGAUAAAUAAAUAAAUAAAUAUUAAAUGAUGUAUAUUGUAUAUUAUAAUGUACCUACCUUGACAGGUUUUGGUGGUGCAGGUGCAGAAGGGUUUUCAUUUCGUUGGUUUGCCAACUCCAUGGACGGUUGAGAUGGUUUUUUGGAGCCACUUGUUAUUGGAGAGGUUAAUCCCAUGCUAACCUAUACCAAAUACAAAUUAUCA
rnacentral:lncRNA from 1 species